rnacentral:rRNA from 1 species
UACGAAGGGGGCUAGCGUUGCUCGGAAUCACUGGGCGUAAAGGGCGCGUAGGCGGCCAUUCAAGUCAGAGGUGAAAGCCCAAGGCUCACCUUGGAACUGCCUUUGAUACUGUUUGGCUUGAGACCGGUAGAGGUAAGUGGAACUGCGAGUGUAGAGGUGAAAUUCGUAGAUAUUCGCAAGAACACCAGUGGCGAAGGCGG